rnacentral:rRNA from 1 species
UCAGGUGGUUAUUGCGGCGGGGUCCACCCCUUACCAUUCCGAACAGGGAAGUUAAGCCCGCCAGCGCCGAUGGUACUGCAUUCUUGUGGGAGAGUAGGUCACUGCCUUUU